rnacentral:rRNA from 1 species
CGGUAAUUCCAGCUCCAAUAGCGUAUACUAAUGUUGUUGCAGUUAAAAAGCUCGUAGUCGGAUUUCAGUUAAUUGCACAGGAACCUAUUGAGUGAUUGCGCAAUCAACUUCUUUGAUGCAAAGCUUCAUCUGAUUAACUUCCGGUGCAAGUCUAGCAUCUCUUUUACUUUGAGAAAAUUAGAGUGUUCAAAGCAGGUUUAUGCCUGAAUAUUACUCUUGGAAUAAUAUUAUAGGACUUUGGUCCAAUAUGAUUGGUGUUGUUGGGCCGGAGUAAUGAUUGAUAGGGACGGUUGGGGUGAUUCAUAUUGCAAAGCGAGAGGUGGAAUUCUUGGACCUUUGUAGGAUGAACAACUGCGAAAGCAUUUCACUAGGACGUUCCCGUUGAUCAAGAACGAAAGUUGGGUCAUCGAAGACGAUCAGAUACCGUCGUAGUCUCAACCAUAAACUAUGCCAGCUAGGGAUGGGAAGUCGUUUUUUAUGACACUUUCCGCACCUUAUGAGAAAUCAAAGCAUUUGGGUUCCGGGGGGAGUAUGGUCGCAAGGCUGAAACUUAAAGGAAUUGACGGGAGGGCACCACCAGGAGUGGAGCCUGUGGCUUAAUUUGACUCAACACGGGAAAACUUACCAGGUCCAGACAUAGUAAGGAUUGACAGAUUGAACGCUCUUUCUUGAUUCUAUGGGUGGUGGUGCAUGGCCGUUCUUAGUUGGUGGAGUGAUUUGUCUGGUUAAUUCCGUUAACGACCGAGACCUCAGCCUGCUAAAUAGUAUUACUGUUUUAGGACAGUGAUAUCUUCUUAGAGGGACUACUUCGAACAUAAACGAGAGGAAGCUUGAGGCAAUAACAGGUCUGUGAUGCCCUUAGAUGUUCUGGGCCGCACACGGGCUACACUGGUGCAUUCAACAAGCUUUGCAAUGAUUGAUCGAAGGAUCUGUCUAACCUUUGAAUUUGCACCGUGCUUGGGAUAGACUUUUGCAAUUUUUAGUCUUCAACGAGGAAUUCCUAGUAAACGCAAGUCAUCAACUUGCAUUGAUUACGUCCCUGCCCUUUGUACACACCGCCCGUCGCUCCUACCGAUUGAAUGAUUCGGUAAGCAUUCAGAAUUUAGUUUUAUGUUCCCUUAUGGGGUGAUAACACUGGAAAAUUUAUUCAAACCUAAUCAUUUAGAGGAAGGAGAAGUCGUAACAAGGUAGCCG